CUUGACUCCCUCCCUUCACAAAACCCCUGUUAGUCCUCUUUAUGUUUAUCCUAAUAGGACCAUGUCUAUUAAAUUGCCUACAGAAGUUCCUACAAGAUCAGAUACACAAAUUCACCAACCAGCCGGUCAAUCAACUACUUCUUUAAGACUACCAGCCCCUGAUGCCCAAGACAGAGACCUAUAACUCAUGACCAACUCCUCUGGCUCCAGAGACUUUGCCCCCACCUAAAA
rnacentral:lncRNA from 1 species